UACUGAAAACCGAAGAGCUACCUGCAGACGGGAGCUACAUGCUCCGGGCCCACCCCCACGAGAUCAUGAGCACAGGAAUCUUUUGUAAUUUUCCAGUGACAGCAAGGCCUUCUCCCAGCUCUUUCCCAGGCUUGGGCCUCCGGUAGCCAUGUUGGCUGGACUCUGCUAUCUUCCUCUCUAUGGGGAAUACCUCAUGUUCAGUGGUGCAUCCUGACUGGGGGUUUGUGGGAAGCCCUGUAUACAGUUCUGAAGGAGCACUAUGUCACACUGCGGCCGCACAAAGGCUUUGUGCUCCUGGCACGAAGGCACUCCUGCCUGUGUACUCCACUGGGAAGAAUACUAUUUACAGAUUCAAGCCUUUUGCCUAAAACUCCUGGCGGCAUCGAUGUCAAGUUGCCUGCAAGAGACUUGUGGGAUUUUCCCCUUGCAUCUUCUGGGACCAAAGUCUCUUCUCAGCCAACUCCUGGGAUCUGGUACCAUUUGCUCUGCCCAUCAUUACUGUAAGUGAGUGGGUGUCUCUGGGGAAGAGAGCCACCAUCAGUUUCAUUUGCAACAAGAGAACCCUCUCAUGUACCCACAUCCACCCACCCUGCAGUGGCCACUCCAUCUGUGUGUCCCCAUGCCUCAAACUCACAGAAGACCAAGUGGAUCAUUGUCACCAAUUCUACAUAAAGGCUCUGGAACAACUGUUCGGAGACCACAAAGAGACCUAUAGUGUCACUGCUCCUGUCCCCCUCACCUUCCUCUAG
rnacentral:lncRNA from 1 species